rnacentral:lncRNA from 1 species
UACAGCCAAAUAAUGGAAGCAGUAUUGAUUGAUGAAUUGCAAAUGUCUGAUAAAUCCUCCAUGCAUUUGGGUAUAGUGACCCCUUAGCACAGCCAUAAGGCGUAUGGUACAUGUUAUUGUUUAUUUGGAAAAGUGAUAUAUUUUCCUACUAUAAUUCUAUUCUUUCAUGGUUAUGUUUUAUUAGCUUUUUUGUGUUUAAUAAACACUUCUAGAAAUUUUUAAUAAUUUACAAAAUUCUGUAAUUCUGCACACAACCAAAUGUUUUUGUUGUUAUGGCAAAUAUUCAUUUAUCAAAUGGUAUUGCGGCCAAAUUACAGAACCUUAUUAUCCGUCAGUGUGCACAUAGUUCAUCAGUUAUAAAAAUGUGUUGAAACUCCGGAGAUUAAAUACCAAACAAUCCAGACUUGAUUGAAGGAACUGAGUUGCUUUAGUCGACUCGUGUUUGAUGUUUUCUCUUUACUCUUAAUGCAUAUUUAUUUUAUCACAGGUUUCUUUAUCCCAGUAUUUACUCUGCCUUGGUAUCAGUAGUUAAUGCCUGAAAUUAUCAUUUAUGAUGGAAAACAACAGAGCAAAAUAGGAGCAAAAAAUAAGUUAAAUGAUUCAGUGACUGAGAAUAUAUGGUAUAUUUUCCGAACAAUGCCGUGCCGCUAAAAUAUAAGAUCUGCAUUUGCAGUGUGAAGCAAUUUAAUUGGUUAAUAAGGUUACUAAUCUUAAAAAGAAUUAAUGUUAUGCUUUAUUGUGUUUCUGCAUUAAUUGAUUGCCAAUCAGGUACCCAAAAAAUUACAGAUAUUUUGCUGGUUCUUAUUUACCAUUACUUUUGCAGCUAUAUAUUUUUUUUUUUAUCCCUAGCAGAUAAAAGUUAUUGUAAUAUCAUCCAAAUCUUUUAUAAUUAACUCCAUGCAGAUGGGUUUUGGAGAAUGUAUAAGUGUGCAUAUAAACAUUCAAAACAUUAAAUAUGCACAAAUAUAAUUCCUUUAUUCAAGCAGAAGCAUUUCCUUACUGAGUUGACGUGACUGAGAACUAGUUUUGCGUUUGGUAAAAUUGUCUUUCUUACAGAAUGGACAUGUUUAUUGUAAUAAGAAUUGAUGGUCCACAGGCUGGAAGAUACUCGGGUCAUAGUAUUAUAUUUUUUUGUUAAUUUUUUAAAGAUUUGAUGAUUCUUUUUUUUAUCAUUGCUGAUGAGUUCGUAUAUGGUAUUGUGCACAGGUCUGUGUUACUUGGGAUAACAAAUGUUAAAAGUUUCACUGCUACAAAGUUGAAAGCCUCCCCACCCCUGCCAUUUGUGCACGUGGAGCUUUAAACUUACCCUCUGGAGGUUAAAUGUCCAUAGUGUUCCUUGUUUGAAUAAGGAAUAUUUCUAUGCUAUAUUUUUGUAGAAUGAAUAUUUAUAUUACAUUUUGUGAGAUAUGAUGAAUAAUGGAUGAUUAUCUUUUCUGAACUGGAAAUGAGAUGUAGUAGGUUAGUUUGGUGCAGUUUGGAUAAUUACAUUGUAUUGCUUUACAGGUUUAUCCUAGGCAUGGGUUGUAUGGUGUCAUUCAAAUAUAUUUUCUGUUACAAUGUUUUUUAAAAGUUUACUCCCUCAUUUACUUUCAUAAAUAGUACCUGAUGUGUUUAUUUGAACUUUGGUAUAUAGAUUUUUUCAUGUGAUAAUUUAGGCAUGUUUACAAACUACAGCCAGAAAUCUUGGUGGAUAAACUGAAAUUAUAAGAAAUAUAUAUGUAUAGUACAGUAGUCUGUGUAUUCCGAACAUAUUAAAAAAUGAACAGUUUUUUUUCCAGAAUCUUCAAUUUUCAGAUUUGAUGAAUCUGAAUUUGAAAUAAUAAAUAUGAUAUAACAUUUCCCUUAAUGAAUAUGAUUCAGUUUUUGUUUGUUGUGUGAACAAGUAAGCAUUCCAGAAUAGCACUCUAAUCAUUAAUUACUGUGUGGAAAUUCAUAAUAUAUGUUUUAUCAUGCAAAUUCAUAAUAUAUGUUUUAUCAUGCAUGUAUGACUUGGUUGUCUUUCUCUGUUAUAGCUAUCUGAUAUAUGCUUGUGUAGUAAUAACUGCCUGUACUUUGCAUGACCUCGGAGGAAUAGGUAAAUGAAUAACCUUACUAACAUUUGAUCCAUAUUAAAUCCAUAUUAAGUCUGAAACCUUUUUUAUUAAUAUUGAUAUACUUUUGAUAUUUUAUAGCUUGGCUUACUGUUUGAGAGCAGACCCACAUUUUCCUCUUCAUUUUGAAAGUUCUGACUUGCAUCUGUGUGAAAAGCAUUUGACUUAAGUAUCUGUGCAUAUUUUAAGUGAAUUAUUGAUAUUACAGUUGCAGAACUGUUUGUCUGGAAAAGGAUCCAAUAAUAAGUUCAAGUGAAUGAGACUCCAUAUGUAAAAUCUACUCCAGGCUUCUUUUGCAGGGCUGAAGGUGGUGAUUGUUUCCAUAGUUCCAAGGCCACACAAACAAAUGGUGCAGCAGAACAGUAUAUUGAAAUUCUUCAUAUUCUUUGUUUUCAGAUAAGUCUGCCUAGUGUUCUCCAACUACCCACUACCCACUUGUUGUUGCUAUUGAAAAAAACUGAGGCAGCAGUGAGGCUUUGCACUUGAGGCAUUUUACAGAAAAUGGAAAACAACUUGAGAUUUGGCUGGCAGUGGUAACUGGACAGAAGCUAAAUUUUGUUGAACUUUCUGGCAUUGGCUGUAAGAGCAGUCAAGGCAGUUUCCAUUGACAGAUGAGAACACCAGGGUUGGAGAGGGUUGCAGAUGCAUGGCUUUAGAUACUAUUUACACUGCCAUUUCAUUUCCAGAUAUUAUGUUUGAAGAAUUCUAGAUGGUCAGAGAAUCAAGGCUCUGAAGACUUGAGCAGCAAAUGAGUGGGAUUGCAACCAUUAGGAAAGGUUGAGGACAUGCAGGAGAUAUUGCAAAAGGGAAACUUGAAUCAAAGGCAAGAACAACUUCAAGUAUGACAUUUGUUGGUCAAAUAUGAG